AGAACACUAUUUUGUAUGGAGUUGGAUUGUUUGCCUACGUUUGCCGCUAGGGGCGCUGUUCAAACUGCAUACAAAAUUGUUUUA
rnacentral:pre_miRNA from 1 species